rnacentral:lncRNA from 1 species
AGUGGCGCUUUUCAGCACGGCAAUACGGUGUCGUCUGCUGCAGAUGACGACAGCAAGUGAAGAUGUCGUGGGGCCGCUGUGGUACUCCAACGGUGGUCGGUGUCAACAGUGGGACUUCCCGGGUGGCCUCUGCCCGGCCACAAAUGACAGCAAGGGAAGCUUGUUUUCAACGUCCGAAGAAUGACGGCGUACCUGUCACGAUGAGCGUUCUCACACCGCCCGCUGUGGAGCUCCAAUGGAGGUGGCCUGCGCGCCAAACAGGCUGAAACAGCCCUAUUUCGCCAACAUGGCAGCGUCCGGUGCGGCUGAGCGAUGUCUGAAAGCCACGGCCUCGAACCUUGCUCGCCACCUGUGCCUCACGGGAAAGAACCGCUUCGGCACGUUGGAGGCUUGCAGGAAAGCUUGCGUGAGCAGCGCUGGAGUUUGACGACACUGCGGCAGCGUGCGAUCAUCGCCUGUAUUCUCGAGACGUUAUCCUCAUGUGGCCACUCAAUAGCACUUUUUAUUAAUAAUUUUUUUGUACAUGCACC